CCUAAGUGUCUGCGCAGCCCGGACCCCCCUCCGGCGUCAGCGAACUCGCUCCUUCGGGGGAGGCCGCCUGGAGUGGCCGCCCUGCGCAUGGGGACCGUGUUCGGUGAAAACGCACAGCCUCGCACUCAGGCCCCUGGCGGCGCCGUGCUCACUCACGCGGCCUGUGGGUCCCUGACCCGGGAUGGCCCCGUGCCCCCGGCGUCCAGGGGACCCUGCCCUGGGCCCACUUGAUAGAACGGCCGACGGGCCUGCCUGCAGCCUUUGGGGCUUCCCCUCUUGCCCGCCCUGUCCUCACGCCCGCCUCCUCUGCCGCGUGCCGCUGCGUCAUUCUAGAGGCCACUAGACUCUUCCAGGAUCAAUGGCUUGGAUGCCACCCCGUCUUGGAGAGGCUCAGAGAUGGCCUGUUCACACCCUCAAACCCCGUAUUUUCCAGAGCACAUUUUUCUCUCCACUGCGUUCCGACGCCCGCAUUCCCAAGGGCACCCAUCACCUGAGGCAGAAUCUGGGAGUCCUCCCUGGACGACACUCGCACCCCAACUGAGGACCAGAGCUCUGGGUAACACAGCCCCCAGCUUCCGUCCACUUUCCUCUGUCCCCCGGACCGGCCCACGGCCUGCGCCCUGGCCUCUGCGGCUGCCGCCGCGCCCCCGUGAAGGACCCGAAGCUGACGCCGCCCCACCUGCAGACCCUUCACGGCUGCGGCCUCACCGACCACUGACCCGCUGGACCCAGAGAGGAACCUGACAAAGGACUUGCUGGCUUCCCAGCUACUCUGCAAAUGCCGGAGCCAUACCCCCAGGAGCACCCAGGAGGGAGGCCGGGCCCCCAGGGCGACUCGGCGGGGACCCCCUUGCCCAGAGCCUGGGCCGGCGCUGCCAAGAGCCAUCAGUCCAGAGAACGGUCGGGAAGGAGUCCUACAUUCUGUCGAUGUGAAAUACUUGGUUAACUUUGCUAAUUCACAUGCCUGUCUUCUCCUAUCCGGAAACACACUGGUUACCUUACAAAUAAUCAGAAAGCAAA